rnacentral:rRNA from 1 species
ACACGACUCUCGGCAAUGGAUAUCUCGGCUCUCGCAUCGAUGAAGAGCGCAGCGAAAUGCGAUAUGUGGUGCGAAUUGCAGAAUCCCGCGAACCAUCGAGUCUUUGAACGCAAGUUGCGCCUGAGGCCAACCGGCUGAGGGCACGUCUGCCUGGGCGUCAAGC